GUCCAGUUGAAUAAACAGAAAAUUCUUUUUAAUUAAUUUAUUUAGGUGAUUUGGGGCAGCGGUAUGGAAAGUAAAGUUGCAUGUGAAGGAGCCAGAAAAGACUUGUUAAACUGUCUUCGACAAUCAGAAUGUUACAAAAUUGAAGGUCACACACCAAGAGAAUGUCUAAUGAGAGGGGAUGAUAUGCCAGAAGAAUGUAAACAGAUCAGAAUAAGACUUUUUAGAUGUAAAAGAUCACAGAUCGAUGCACGGACGAGAUUUAGAGGGAAAAUUGAAUGACAGAUGACUAGUUUUUAUAGAAGAUUACAAAUGUAUUUUUAAAACAAUGAUAAUGUGACUUCUUAGAAUUUGUGAAAGUUUAAGACUGAAGAAAUCAGAUUAACCAAGAUGGAAAAGUUCUGCAAGUCAAGUGAAUGAUUUAGGAACAUGUUAAAACUUCAUGAACAGAAUCUGCAAGUGUUUUUUUCUCCUCAAGAAGAUAAAUCUCUACAUGGAAAAGUUUGUGUUAAAUAUACCAGUUAUUUAAAUGAAAUUUAAGUUAAUUGCUCCUACUUAAUUUCCAUAACUCUAGAAUGGAUUUUGACUGCUUUAUGUCCCUUUUAAAACAUGGAAAAUUGCACCUUUAGGUGAGCAUAUGUGUUCUUUCUACCCAGCCAGUGAAGGUUAUCAUAUUCCUUUGGAUGGGAGGCAUAUGUUACUGGCUAAAAACCUUAUCUCUAAAAUGUAAUAAUAUAUGUAUUUUUUCUUGAAUUAUUCUCCUUUAUAACUUACAAUUGAUGUACAAGAUUCCUGCAAGACUGAUGUUUUACUAUCAAAAACUUAGAAUAGUGGAGCAAUCUGUCCCUCGAACAGCUCUUGUACUGUAAAUAUUUUGAUAGCCUUGCUCAAAAGUUAUGUUGGAAAAAAUAUGAACCACCAAUAUGGUUGAAAGAUUGUUUAAAGUUCAAUGUUUCUUUGGACUUUGUUAAUAUUAUAUAUUAACAUAUAUUAGCAUUCUAAAUACAAAUAAUGUUGUGAUGACUUUGGUUAUAAUCAUUACUGGACGUAUGAGGAUGUGGUACAUAACUAAUUGUAAUUGUUAUUUAUGAAUUUUUUACAUUGACAUGAUUAUAUGAUAAAAAAAA